AAUCCAUGUUGCGGGCACUUCCUCAGGAGCUCCUUGAACCUUUCCCAUGUCUCGAAUAGAGACUCCAAUUCUAACUGAACAAAGGAUACGAUCUUGUUCCUAAGCUU